GACGAACGCUGGCGGCGUGCUUAACACAUGCAAGUCGAACGGAAAGGCCCUGCUUUUGUGGGGUGCUCGAGUGGCGAACGGGUGAGUAACACGUGAGUAACCUGCCCUUGACUUUGGGAUAACUUCAGGAAACUGGGGCUAAUACCGGAUAGGAGCUCCUGCUGCAUGGUGGGGGAUGGAAAGUUUCGGCGGUUGGGGAUGGACUGGCGGCUUAUCAGCUUGUUGGUGGGGUAGUUGCUGACCAAGGCUUUGACGGGUAGCCGGCCUGAGAGGGUGACCGGCCACAUUGGGACUGAGGUACGGCCCAGACGCCUACGGGAGGCAGCAGUGGAGAAUAUUGCACAAUGGGCGGAAGCCUGAUGCAGCAACGCCGCGUGCGGGAUGACGGCCUUCGGGUUGUAAACCGCUUUCGCCUGUGACGAAGCGUGAGUGACGGUAAUGGGUAAAGAAGCACCGGCUAACUACGUG
rnacentral:rRNA from 1 species